rnacentral:rRNA from 1 species
AUACGGAGGGGGCUAGCGUUGUUCGGAAUUACUGGGCGUAAAGCGCGCGUAGGCGGAUCGUUAAGUCAGGGGUGAAAGCCCGGAGCUCAACUCCGGAACUGCCCUUGAUACUGGCGAUCUCGAGUCCGGGAGAGGUGAGCGGAAUUCCUAGUGUAGAGGUGAAAUUCGUAGAUAUUAGGAGGGACACCAGUGGCGAAGGCGGCUCACUGGCCCGGUACUGACGCUGAGGUGCGAAAGCGUGGGGAGCAAACAGGAUUAGAAACCCUAGUAGUCC